CCUGAGGACCGUAACUCCUACAGUAGAAGCAAGCUUCACACAUCCAGUGUCCGGAGAGGGUCACCCCUUUACAGGAGGCAGUACCAGAGCGUGACAGGGAGCGAGAUGUCGAGGCCAUCCAUCUCCAGGAGGGUCCGAGAGAGUCCCACAGGAAAUGAAACCAAGGGAAUCGUCUUGAGCUAGGACCCACCCUGGCCUUCACGGCCAGACCAAGGCAGCUCUGCAGUCCUUCAGGCCUCAGUCUCUCUGUAGUCCUGUAGACCUCCCAUGACCUGCACGCUGUCCCGUGCACUGUGCCAUUCAU
ensembl:lncRNA